rnacentral:rRNA from 1 species
UGGGGAAUUUUGGACAAUGGGCGAAAGCCUGAUCCAGCAAUGCCGCGUGUGUGAAGAAGGCCUUCGGGUUGUAAAGCACUUUUGUCCGGAAAGAAAUCCUUGGCUCUAAUACAGUCGGGGGAUGACGGUACCGGAAGAAUAAGCACCGGCUAACUACGUGCCAGCAGCCGCGGUAAUACGUAGGGUGCAAGCGUUAAUCGGAAUUACUGGGCGUAAAGCGUGCGCAGGCGGUUUGCUAAGACCGAUGUGAAAAUCCCGGCGUCAACUAGGCAUGGCAUGUGAUGCUGGCAGGCUAGAGUAUGGCAGAGGGGUGAAAUAUCCACGUGUAGCAGUGAAAAUGCGUAGAGAUGUGGAGGAAUACCGAUGGCGAAGGCAGCCC